UACGUAGGGGGGCUAGCGUUGUCCGGAAUCAUUGGGCGUAAAGAGCGUGUAGGCGGUUCGGUAAGUCCGCUGUGAAAGUCCAGGGCUCAACCCCUGGAAUGCCAGUGGAAACUGCCGAGCUAGAGUCCGGAAGAGGCGAGUGGAAUUCCUGGUGUAGCGGUGAAAUGCGCAGAUAUCAGGAGGAACACCAAUGGCGAAAGCAGCUCGCUGGGACGGUACUGACGCUGAGACGCGAAAGCGUGGGGAGCAAACAGG
rnacentral:rRNA from 1 species